rnacentral:tRNA from 1 species
GCCCUUGUAGCUCAGUUGGUAGAGCACAUCCAUGGUAAGGAUGGGGUCGCCGGUUCAAAUCCGGCCGAGGGCU